UUACAGAACGCCCGGGCUUCGGCCUGGUUAUUCAUAACCCUUUGUUGUCCGACUCUGUUGCCUCCGGGGCGACCCUGCCUUCGGGCGGGGGCUCCGGGUGGACACUUCAAACUCUUGCGUAACUUUGCAGUCUGAGUAAACUUAAUUAAUAAAUUAAAACUUUUAACAACGGAUCUCUUGGUUCUGGCAUCGAUGAAGAACGCAGCGAAAUGCGAUAAGUAAUGUGAAUUGCAGAAUUCAGUGAAUCAUCGAAUCUUUGAACGCACAUUGCGCCCCCUGGUAUUCCGGGGGGCAUGCCUGUUCGAGCGUCAUUUCACCACUCAAGCCUCGCUUGGUAUUGGGCAACGCGGUCCGCCGCGUGCCUCAAAUCGUCCGGCUGGGUCUUCUGUCCCCUAAGCGUUGUGGAAACUAUUCGCUAAAGGGUGUUCGGGAGGCUACGCCGUAAAACAACCCCAUUUCUAAGGUUGACCUCGGAUCAGGUAGGGAUACCCGCUGAACUUAAGCAU
rnacentral:rRNA from 1 species